rnacentral:rRNA from 1 species
AACGUACGCUGGCGGCACGCCUAACACAUGCAAGUCGAACGAAGUAGCAAUACUUAGUGGCAGACGGGUGAGUAACAUGUGGGUAUCCACCCUUUGGUACGGAAUAGCCUCGGGAAACUGGGAGUAAUACCGUAUGUGCCCUUCGGGGGAAAGAUUUAUCGCCAAAGGAUUGGCCCGCGUUGGAUUAGGUAGUUGGUGGGGUAAUGGCCUACCAAGCUGACGAUCCAUAGCUGGUUUGAGAGGAUGAUCAGCCACACUGGGACUGAGACACGGCCCAGACUCC